GCCCGGAUGGUGAAAUGGGUAGACACAGCGGACUUAAAAUCCGCAGGCCCGGAAACGGGCCGUGCCGGUUCGACCCCGGCUCCGGGCACCA
rnacentral:tRNA from 1 species